AGUUAUGCUUGCUGCACUGGAAGAUUAUAUGACGAAAGGAAUUAUGUUUGUGUCCGUUACCGCUACGGUCGUUAUUCAAGAAUCGUUUUGCAAAGAUGUAAUCCAUGUCGCCAAUUUAGAUGUGCCAGUGGAGAAUGUACAUUGAAACGAUGGCGAUGCAAUAACGUGAAAGAUUGUACUGAUGGAAGUGAUGAGGUUGGUUGUCGUAAGUGCCGUCGUAGAUCAUAUCUGUUUGCUUGCAGAAGUGUAAAAAAAUGCGUUCAUAAAAGCAGAGUUUGUGACAAAAUCAACAAUUGUGCAGAUGGAUCUGAUGAAGUUGGAUGUCCAACUCCACUUGGCAACAAAUGUGGACCAAACUCCUAUCGUUGCCGAAAUAACAAGUGUAUUCACUGGAGAUUUGCAUGCAAUGGUUAUAAUAACUGUGGAGAUUGGUCUGAUGAAAAGGUUAUUUCUGUAAAAGGUAUGGCCUUCUGAGACGUCGUUGUCGUGGAAAAUUAGGUAAAAAACGAGACGAAAUUCCCAAUGAUGAAGUGAGCAAUGAUGAAGUGAGCAAUGGUGGGGAUGGUGAAACAGGAACUACUUCCGGCUGAAUUUGAGAACUCGCUUAUACUCAGGAUGAGGUAGUUUCACAAUUACUUUGCAUUAGCGUGUAGUUUAUUGAUUGACUUGUAACUUUUUUUUGGCAAGUUAAUCGUUAUCUCAAAUAAAUACCUGCAAAAAUAA